CGUAGGGUGCAAGCGUUGCCCGGAUUUAUUGGGCGUAAAGGGCGCGUAGGCGGCUCGGCACGUCCGUUGUGAAAUCGCCCGGCUCAACUGGGCGGGGUCGGCGGAUACGGCCGAGCUGGAGCAAGCUAGGGGGUAAUGGAAUUCCCGGUGUAGUGGUGGAAUGCGUAGAUAUCGGGAGGAACACCAGUGGCGAAGGCGGUUACCUGGAGCUUUGCUGACGCUGAUGCGCGAAAGCGUGGGGAGCGAUCCGGAUUAGAUACCCGGGUAGUCCACGCCGUAAACGAUGCGGACUAGGUGUCGGGGGUAUCGACCCCCUCGGCGCCGCAGCUAACGCAUUAAGUCCGCCGCCUGGGGACUACGGCCGCAAGGCUA
rnacentral:rRNA from 1 species